GUCCACGCCGUAAACGAUGGGCACUAGGUAGCGGCCGGAUCCGACCGGUCGCUGCUGACGGAAAUCCAUUAAGUGCCCCGCCUGGGGAGUAUGGUCGCAAGGCUGAAACUCAAAGGAAUUGACGGGGGCUCACACAAGCGGUGGAGGAUGUUGCUCAAUUCGAAGCAACUCGAAGAACCUUACCAGGGUUUGACAUGCCGGGAUUAACUCCGUGAAAGCGGAGGGAUUGCCUUCGGGUGUAACCGGCACAGGUGUUGCAUGGCUGUCGU
rnacentral:rRNA from 1 species